CUAGCAUCCUUCAUCUCACCCACUUCAUCUGAUGUCUACUUUCCAUUCUUCUUCUUUGUGAGGUAUGAAUCCCUAUUAUGAUUUCAAAUUCUAAUAUUACAAUGACUUUCACUUAUUGAAGAGUUAUUACAAAUCAUACUUCUUUAUUUUGCUUAGUUUGUUUUAUCGGAUAAAAUACAGUAGGGGACAUAAACUAAGAAACUGUUGUUUAUCUGAAAUGCAAAUUUAACUGAGUGUCCUGUAUUUUUAUUUGUUAGCUUUGGCAAACCAAAAUUAAUUUGGGGCCAGAAUUAUCAUGCUUUGAACCAAAAUUUCACACAGGAUCAUCUUCUGUUAUUAUCUUUCAUCAUCCAAACUUACCCAUCCACGAAACUUGGCCUUGUUCCUCUUGAAAUACUAGGCCAGGACAACCACACUAAGACCAUUUCAAAUUAGGGAAAUAGAAGGUCAUGUGAAAUCUUGACUGGGUGGACAGAACCAUUAAAUAGCUUCUCAAGCCCCAUAAAAUCCAUGACAUAUAGAAAAGCUAAACAUUGUGAUUCUUGUCUAAAUGCUGUCUCAAAAGGACUGUGAUUUGCAAAG